AUUUUUCGUAGAUCUAGAUCUGAAGAGUUGAGACUUUGAGUUUUGAGAGCAGAGAGUCUAAGAGUAAGAGAGUUCGAUUGUGAAGAAGAAGACGACGACGACACGACGACGACGACUCACAUGAGUCGAGAAGGCGACUCGCACGGCAACGGAAGUUCCGCCAUGUGACUGAAUUUGAUCUGGAUCUGGUUAAAGCAAAUGAUAAUUUUCUGUCUCAAGGUCAUGGAAGAGGUGGAACAGGGGGUGGGAAUUCAUGAGCUCUGCCAUGGGGAGGUAAAUAUAUCAAAUUUCUGAAUGAUCAAAUGAGGAACGUAUAUAUUUUGUGAUAUUAAUUUUAAUGUUUAUGGUUAACAGGUUUGAUGAGUUUGUUUAAUGAAAUUAUUGAUGGUCUACUGUGUUACACAAUUAUUAUGUACCUCUACUGUCUUGUAUAUUGGAUUAGCUGUACUUGAUAUAACAGGAUCAAAAUUUAGAUUGUGUAAGAUUAUUUAUGGAUUUCGAAGUUAGAUUUUUAUAAUAUUAUUUUAUUUUCUUCAAAUUUUUUGCUGUGUAGCUUAGAAAAAAUCAUGUAUAUAUUGGUAAAUAGGAUGCCAUGUUUUAUGUUCUCUCGUUUCUUUUUCUGUUUUGUCUUCUUUUAUCAUUAAAACACCUUAUUUUAAGUAAAUAAAUGUUGAUAUAAUAUUGAUCAGAUAUUUUUUCUCACGAAAGACGAAACCUUCAGGAAGACGACCACGACGAUUGAAUUUGAACUAUUGAUAUUUUAAAUUGGCAUUUUUCAUGUAAGCAUUUACAGAUUUCACUUAUUAUUUGGACUUAUGUUUUGUUAUGUUUUCCUUAUUGUGAUAUACGUCUGUUGAUGGUAAUUUUGUUGCUGCAGAUAUGAUUGCAAUUUGCAAGUAUGCAUUUGGAUGGUGACAUGAAUGAAAUGAAUAGUUUUUGUUUGAAUUUGUAAUUCUGUAUUUGGAUUUUGGAGCUUAUUUUUGUAAUUUUGUGAUUUGUAUUAUUGUAUGUAAAUUGUAAUAUACUAAUAUGUUACUGUUACAACAACUUAGAUUUGUGAUUUAUAGAUUUUUUUUAAAAAAAAAUUAAAUGAAAAAGCCCGCGGAUCGGGCCGAGCCGGCCCAAUCCGGGCCACAGGCC
rnacentral:lncRNA from 1 species